UACGUAGGGUGCGAGCGUUGUCCGGAAUUACUGGGCGUAAAGAGCUCGUAGGUGGUUUGUCGCGUUGUCCGUGAAAACUCACAACUCAAUUGUGGGCGUGCGGGCGAUACGGGCAGACUGGAGUACUGCAGGGGAGACUGGAAUUCCUGGUGUAGCGGUGAAAUGCGCAGAUAUCAGGAGGAACACCGGUGGCGAAGGCGGGUCUCUGGGCCGAUACUGACGCUGAGGAGCGAAAGCGUGGGGGAGCGAACAGG
rnacentral:rRNA from 1 species